UGAGGAAUAUUGCGCAAUGGGCGAAAGCCUGACGCAGCAACGCCGCGUGAGGGACGAAGGCCUUCGGGUCGUAAACCUCUUUUCUGGGGAAAGAGCAAGGACGGUACCUCAGGAAUAAGUCUCGGCUAACUACGUGCCAGCAGCCGCGGUAAAACGUAGGAGGCGAGCGUUAUCCGGAUUUACUGGGCGUAAAGCGCACGCAGGCGGCUUCGUUAGUCGGGUGUGAAAGCUCCUAGCUUAACUGGGAGAGGCCAUUCGAUACUGCGAGGCUUGAGGUUGGGAGAGGGGUGUGGAAUUCCCGGUGUAGUGGUGGAAUGCGUAGAUAUCGGAAGGAACAUCAGUGGCGAAGGCGACUUCCUGGACCAAUACUGACGCUCAGGUGCGAAAGCGUGGGGAGCAAACAGGAUUAGAUACCCUGGUAGUCCACGCCCUAAACGAUGAGAACUGGAUGUCGGGAGGGUUUGCCUUCCGGUGUCGUAGCUAACGCGUUAAGUUCUCCGCCUGGGAAGUACGGCCGCAAGGUUG
rnacentral:rRNA from 1 species